GGGUUGUGAGGUUAAGCGACUAAGCGUACACGGUGGAUGCCCUGGCAGUCAGAGGCGAUGAAGGACGUGCUAAUCUGCGAUAAGCGUCGGUAAGGUGAUAUGAACCGUUAUAACCGGCGAUUUCCGAAUGGGGAAACCCAGUGUGAUUCGUCACACUAUCAUUAACUGAAUCCAUAGGUUAAUGAGGCGAACCGGGGGAACUGAAACAUCUAAGUACCCCGAGGAAAAGAAAUCAACCGAGAUUCCCCCAGUAGCGGCGAGCGAACGGGGAGCAGCCCAGAGCCUGAAUCAGUGUGUGUGUUAGUGGAAGCGUCUGGAAAGGCGCGCGAUACAGGGUGACAGCCCCGUACACAAAAAUGCACAUGCUGUGAGCUCGAUGAGUAGGGCGGGACACGUGGUAUCCUGUCUGAAUAUGGGGGGACCAUCCUCCAAGGCUAAAUACUCCUGACUGACCGAUAGUGAACCAGUACCGUGAGGGAAAGGCGAAAAGAACCCCGGCGAGGGGAGUGAAAAAGAACCUGAAACCGUGUACGUACAAGCAGUGGGAGCACGCUUAGGCGUGUGACUGCGUACCUUUUGUAUAAUGGGUCAGCGACUUAUAUUCUGUAGCAAGGUUAACCGAAUAGGGGAGCCGAAGGGAAACCGAGUCUUAACUGGGCGUUAAGUUGCAGGGUAUAGACCCGAAACCCGGUGAUCUAGCCAUGGGCAGGUUGAAGGUUGGGUAACACUAACUGGAGGACCGAACCGACUAAUGUUGAAAAAUUAGCGGAUGACUUGUGGCUGGGGGUGAAAGGCCAAUCAAACCGGGAGAUAGCUGGUUCUCCCCGAAAGCUAUUUAGGUAGCGCCUCGUGAAUUCAUCUCCGGGGGUAGAGCACUGUUUCGGCAAGGGGGUCAUCCCGACUUACCAACCCGAUGCAAACUGCGAAUACCGGAGAAUGUUAUCACGGGAGACACACGGCGGGUGCUAACGUCCGUCGUGAAGAGGGAAACAACCCAGACCGCCAGCUAAGGUCCCAAAGUCAUGGUUAAGUGGGAAACGAUGUGGGAAGGCCCAGACAGCCAGGAUGUUGGCUUAGAAGCAGCCAUCAUUUAAAGAAAGCGUAAUAGCUCACUGGUCGAGUCGGCCUGCGCGGAAGAUGUAACGGGGCUAAACCAUGCACCGAAGCUGCGGCAGCGACGCUUAUGCGUUGUUGGGUAGGGGAGCGUUCUGUAAGCCUGUGAAGGUGUGCUGUGAGGCAUGCUGGAGGUAUCAGAAGUGCGAAUGCUGACAUAAGUAACGAUAAAGCGGGUGAAAAGCCCGCUCGCCGGAAGACCAAGGGUUCCUGUCCAACGUUAAUCGGGGCAGGGUGAGUCGACCCCUAAGGCGAGGCCGAAAGGCGUAGUCGAUGGGAAACAGGUUAAUAUUCCUGUACUUGGUGUUACUGCGAAGGGGGGACGGAGAAGGCUAUGUUGGCCGGGCGACGGUUGUCCCGGUUUAAGCGUGUAGGCUGGUUUUCCAGGCAAAUCCGGAAAAUCAAGGCUGAGGCGUGAUGACGAGGCACUACGGUGCUGAAGCAACAAAUGCCCUGCUUCCAGGAAAAGCCUCUAAGCAUCAGGUAACAUCAAAUCGUACCCCAAACCGACACAGGUGGUCAGGUAGAGAAUACCAAGGCGCUUGAGAGAACUCGGGUGAAGGAACUAGGCAAAAUGGUGCCGUAACUUCGGGAGAAGGCACGCUGAUAUGUAGGUGAAGUCCCUCGCGGAUGGAGCUGAAAUCAGUCGAAGAUACCAGCUGGCUGCAACUGUUUAUUAAAAACACAGCACUGUGCAAACACGAAAGUGGACGUAUACGGUGUGACGCCUGCCCGGUGCCGGAAGGUUAAUUGAUGGGGUCAGCGCAAGCGAAGCUCUUGAUCGAAGCCCCGGUAAACGGCGGCCGUAACUAUAACGGUCCUAAGGUAGCGAAAUUCCUUGUCGGGUAAGUUCCGACCUGCACGAAUGGCGUAAUGAUGGCCAGGCUGUCUCCACCCGAGACUCAGUGAAAUUGAACUCGCUGUGAAGAUGCAGUGUACCCGCGGCAAGACGGAAAGACCCCGUGAACCUUUACUAUAGCUUGACACUGAACAUUGAGCCUUGAUGUGUAGGAUAGGUGGGAGGCUUGGAAGUGUGGACGCCAGUCUGCAUGGAGCCGACCUUGAAAUACCACCCUUUAAUGUUUGAUGUUCUAACGUGGACCCGUAAUCCGGGUUGCGGACAGUGUCUGGUGGGUAGUUUGACUGGGGCGGUCUCCUCCUAAAGAGUAACGGAGGAGCACGAAGGUUGGCUAAUCCUGGUCGGACAUCAGGAGGUUAGUGCAAUGGCAUAAGCCAGCUUGACUGCGAGCGUGACGGCGCGAGCAGGUGCGAAAGCAGGUCAUAGUGAUCCGGUGGUUCUGAAUGGAAGGGCCAUCGCUCAACGGAUAAAAGGUACUCCGGGGAUAACAGGCUGAUACCGCCCAAGAGUUCAUAUCGACGGCGGUGUUUGGCACCUCGAUGUCGGCUCAUCACAUCCUGGGGCUGAAGUAGGUCCCAAGGGUAUGGCUGUUCGCCAUUUAAAGUGGUACGCGAGCUGGGUUUAGAACGUCGUGAGACAGUUCGGUCCCUAUCUGCCGUGGGCGCUGGAGAACUGAGGGGGGCUGCUCCUAGUACGAGAGGACCGGAGUGGACGCAUCACUGGUGUUCGGGUUGUCAUGCCAAUGGCACUGCCCGGUAGCUAAAUGCGGAAGAGAUAAGUGCUGAAAGCAUCUAAGCACGAAACUUGCCCCGAGAUGAGUUCUCCCUGACUCCUUGAGAGUCCUGAAGGAACGUUGAAGACGACGACGUUGAUAGGCCGGGUGUGUAAGCGCAGCGAUGCGUUGAGCUAACCGGUACUAAUGAACCGUGAGGCUUAACCUUACAACGCCGAAGGUGUUU
rnacentral:rRNA from 1 species